rnacentral:rRNA from 1 species
UACGUAGGGUGCGAGCGUUGUCCGGAAUUAUUGGGCGUAAAGGGCUCGUAGGCGGUUUGUCGCGUCGGGAGUGAAAACCAGGUGCUUAACACCUGGCUUGCUUUCGAUACGGGCAGACUAGAGGUAUGCAGGGGGAGAACGGAAUUCCUGGUGUAGCGGUGAAAUGCGCAGAUAUCAGGAGGAACACCGGUGGCGAAGGCGGUUCUCUGGGCAUGACCUGACGCUGAGGAGCGAAAGUGUGGGGAGCGAACAGG